rnacentral:rRNA from 1 species
UACGUAGGGGGCAAGCGUUGUCCGGAUUUAUUGGGCGUAAAGAGCUCGUAGGCGGUUUCGUUAGUCGGGUGUGAAACCCCAGGCCCAACCUGGGGACGCCACCCGAUACUGCGAUGACUAGAGUCCGGUAGGGGAGUGUGGAAUUCCUGGUGUAGCGGUGAAAUGCGUAGAGAUCGGGAGGAAGGCCGGUGGCGAAGGCGGCGCUCUGGAACAUUUCUGGACGCUGAGGCUCGAAAGCGUGGGGAGCAAACAGGG